UUUAAGCAGAAAGUCAUCAAAGAAGCAAAGUCUCUCACUUUGACAGCAGAAGUUCAAAGUUAUAUCAGUGCAACAGAGAAACAACAGCCUGAAAAUGACUGUAACAGCAACAUUUCCUCUUUCUUGCUGCUGUUUUAUUUGUUACCGCCUUCUGCAGGGAGGAACAAGGCUACAAUCAGUCAAACUGAUGCUGUUGACAGGCUUGUACAUUUACAUAAGCAUUUAAGAACAUUUCAGCAGGAGAGAAGGUCAC